AUGAACGCUAGCUACAGGCUUAACACAUGCAAGUCGAGGGGCAGCAUGGUCUUAGCUUGCUAAGGCCGAUGGCGACCGGCGCACGGGUGAGUAACACGUAUCCAACCUGCCGUCUACUCUUGGACAGCCUUCUGAAAGGAAGAUUAAUACAAGAUGGCAUCAUGAGUCCACAUGUUCACAUGAUUAAAGGUAUUCCGGUAGACGAUGGGGAUGCGUUCCAUUAGAUAGUAGGCGGGGUAACGGCCCACCUAGUCUUCGAUGGAUAGGGGUUCUGAGAGGAAGGUCCCCCACAUUGGAACUGAGACACGGUCCAAACUCCUACGGGAGGCAGCAGUGAGGAAUAUUGGUCAAUGGGCGAGAGCCUGAACCAGCCAAGUAGCGUGAAGGAUGACUACCCUAUGGGUUGUAAACUUCUUUUAUAAAGGAAUAAAGUCGGGUAUGGAUACCCGUUUGCAUGUACUUUAUGAAUAAGGAUCGGCUAACUCCGUGCCAGCAGCCGCGGUAAUACGGAGGAUCCGAGCGUUAUCCGGAUUUAUUGGGUUUAAAGGGAGCGUAGAUGGAUGUUUAAGUCAGUUGUGAAAGUUUGCGGCUCAACCGUAAAAUUGCAGUUGAUACUGGAUAUCUUGAGUGCAGUUGAGGCAGGCGGAAUUCGUGGUGUAGCGGUGAAAUGCUUAGAUAUCACGAAGAACUCCGAUUGCGAAGGCAGCCUGCUAAGCUGCAACUGACAUUGAGGCUCGAAAGUGUGGGUAUCAAACAGGAUUAGAUACCCUGGUAGUCCACACGGUAAACGAUGAAUACUCGCUGUUUGCGAUAUACAGCAAGCGGCCAAGCGAAAGCGUUAAGUAUUCCACCUGGGGAGUACGCCGGCAACGGUGAAACUCAAAGGAAUUGACGGGGGCCCGCACAAGCGGAGGAACAUGUGGUUUAAUUCGAUGAUACGCGAGGAACCUUACCCGGGCUUAAAUUGCAGAUGAAUUACGGUGAAAGCCGUAAGCCGCAAGGCAUCUGUGAAGGUGCUGCAUGGUUGUCGUCAGCUCGUGCCGUGAGGUGUCGGCUUAAGUGCCAUAACGAGCGCAACCCUUGUUGUCAGUUACUAACAGGUUCCGCUGAGGACUCUGACAAGACUGCCAUCGUAAGAUGUGAGGAAGGUGGGGAUGACGUCAAAUCAGCACGGCCCUUACGUCCGGGGCUACACACGUGUUACAAUGGGGGGUACAGAGGGCCGCUACCACGCGAGUGGAUGCCAAUCCCAAAAACCUCUCUCAGUUCGGACUGGAGUCUGCAACCCGACUCCACGAAGCUGGAUUCGCUAGUAAUCGCGCAUCAGCCACGGCGCGGUGAAUACGUUCCCGGGCCUUGUACACACCGCCCGUCAAGCCAUGGGAGCCGGGGGUACCUGAAGUGCGUAACCGCGAGGAGCGCCCUAGGGUAAAACUGGUGACUGGGGCU
rnacentral:rRNA from 1 species